GACGAACGCUGGCGGCGUGCUUAACACAUGCAAGUCGAACGGAAAGGCCCUGCUUUUGCGGGGUGCUCGAGUGGCGAACGGGUGCGUAACACGUGAGUAACCUGCCUUUGACUUUGGGAUAACUUCUGGAAACUGGGGCUAAUACCGGAUAGGAGCUCCUGCUGCUUGGUGGGGGUUGGAAAGUUUCUGCGGUUGGGGAUGGACUCGCGGCCUAUCAGCUUGUUGGUGGGGUAGUGGCUUACCAAGGCGUUGACGGUUAGCCGGCCUGAGAGGGUGACCGGCCACAUUGGGACUGAGAUACGGCCCAGACUCCUACGGGAGGCAGCAGUGGGGAAUAUUGCACAAUGGGCGGAAGCCUGAUGCAGCAACGCCGCGUGCGGGAUGACGGCCUUCGGGUUGUAAACCGCUUUCGCCUGUGACGAAGCGUGAGUGACGGUAAUUGGUAAAGAAGCACCGGCUAACUACGUG
rnacentral:rRNA from 1 species